UAGAUACUCCCUCCGUCCCAAAAUAAGUGUCUCAACUUUGUACUAACUUUAGUAUAAAGUUGUACUAAGGUUAAGACACUUAUAAGGCACUUACUUUGGGACGGAGGGAGUAGAAC
rnacentral:pre_miRNA from 1 species